rnacentral:hammerhead_ribozyme from 1 species
AUCCAGCUGACGAGUCUCAGAUAGGACGGAACGUGCGUUAAGCAU